UUUAGAUAUACAUUGUCUACUGGUCCCAGG
rnacentral:piRNA from 1 species